rnacentral:rRNA from 1 species
UACGUAGGCAGCGAGCGUUGUUCGGAGUUACUGGGCGUAAAGAGUGCGUAGGCGGUUUUCUAAGUUUGGUGUGAAAUCUCCCGGCUUAACUGGGAGGGUGCGCCGAAGUCUGGAAGGCUUGAGUAUGGGAGAGGUAAGCGGAAUUCCUGGUGUAGCGGUGAAAUGCGUAGAUAUCAGGAGGAACACCUGCGGUGUAGACGGCUUACUGGACCAUAACUGACGCUGAGGCACGAAAGCGUGGGUAGCAAACAGG